AGAGAUGCAGUAUCACAAAAGAGAGGACAAAUGAGAGGAGAGAUUGAGAUUCACAAAAGCAACUGUGCUUAGGGGUGGAGCUUGUAGGUAAACUAAGCAGAAAUGAUGAACCGAAAACCUUGCAGAUGAAGUCAGGUUAUGUUGUGCUAUUAGCCAGUUUGACUUCCAACCCCAGUCAUGUUGUUCAUCUGGUCAUGUAUUAUGUUCUCAGUAAUAGGUGACACCUAUGAGCAGACAAUAGAGCAAAACCAACAAGAAGUGUAUGCAGAAGUGGGUAGUAAUGUUCUUCUUUCAUGCAACUACUCCUCAGCAGACAGUCUGCUAUGGUAUAAACAGUCUCCAGGAUCAGCUCCCCAAUACCUUCUGCUCAUCCCGCACUACAGUGGGAUUGAACAGCGACCUGCUUCUCUUGACUCUCGCUUCUCUGGUAAACUGAACAAAGAGAAGACCCGUGUGGAUCUGGAGAUCUCCUCUGCUGAAGUGACAGACUCUGCUCUGUACUACUGUGCUCUGAGGCCCACAGUGACAGGAAACCCAGAAACACUGUACAAAAACCUAACAUCGCCUGAGAGAGUAUUUCUUCUCUGUAGUUCCAAGUUGCAUUUGACAGUAGUGCCUUCAAGUGGAGUCAACAUGCACCCAUUCUAUUGUGUCAAGAGGAGGAGCUUAGUGUUACACAUAACUUGUAAUGAGUGGAACUGAUUCAUCCAGAGAGUGAAUGUUCCAAGAGAAGAUCAU